CAUGAAGUACAACCAAGCGAGCACAAAAUCACCACUGAGACAAAGACUAGGCCAAAUUACAUGGUGUGUAUUGCCGGCGGCCACAGAGGACUCGUGUCUCUCUAACCGGUGGCUCUGAAAGGAGGGUGUCAAGAACUUUUAUGCUCAUAAACCACCUCCUGGGUGGGGGUGUGGGUGAGGGGCUUUUGACAUUCUGAGGGCCAGGGGAC